UUUCAAGAUGGCUCCCACCACAACAACGUGUCUGCAGCAGUAAGUAGCAGUUUGGUGAGAUCCCUGUACUCUGGUCUUGGAUAUUUAGGACAGUAACGUUUGAUGACAAAUUGAAGAUCAAGAUCACAGCAGCUCCUUUUGAUGAAGAAUUCUCCAAUACUGGCUGCAGCAGUUAAGAGGGUUGUCAUCACCAGCAGUGAAAACAAUGGCACAGAACCCUGUCAGCAGUCCACAAGAACCAGAUUACUACAGCUCCAAGUAUUUCACAGUAAGCUCUCAGAAAAUUACUUGCCCAGCAGUGAGGUUAAUGCUUAAGC